rnacentral:rRNA from 1 species
AUUGAACGCUGGCGGCAUGCUUUACACAUGCAAGUCGAGCGGCAGCGCGGGGGCAACCCUGGCGGCGAGCGGCGAACGGGUGAGUAAUGCAUCGGAACGUAUCCUCGAGUGGGGGAUAACCCAGCGAAAGUUGGGCUAAUACCGCAUGAGCUCUGAGGAGGAAAGCGGGGGACCUGCGAGGGCCUCGCGCUGGAGGAGCGGCCGAUGUCCGAUUAGCUAGUUGGUGGGGUAAAGGCUUACCAAGGCGACGAUCGGUAGCUGGUCUGAGAGGAUGGUCAGCCACACUGGGACUGAGACACGGCCCAGACUCCUACGGGAGGCAGCAGUGGGGAAUUUUGGACAAUGGGGGCAACCCUGAUCCAGCCAUGCCGCGUGAGUGAAGAAGGCCUUCGGGUUGUAAAGCUCUUUCGGACGGAACGAAAUGGGCGGGGCUAAUACUCCUGUCUGAUGACGGUACCGUAAGAAGAAGCACCGGCUAACUACGUG